rnacentral:rRNA from 1 species
UAGGGAAUCUUCGGCAAUGGACGAAAGUCUGACCGAGCAACGCCGCGUGAGUGAAGAAGGUUUUCGGAUCGUAAAACUCUGUUGUUAGAGAAGAACAAGGACGUUAGUAACUGAACGUCCCCUGACGGUAUCUAACCAGAAAGCCACGGCUAACUACGUGCCAGCAGCCGCGGUAAUACGUAGGUGGCAAGCGUUGUCCGGAUUUAUUGGGCGUAAAGCGAGCGCAGGCGGUUUCUUAAGUCUGAUGUGAAAGCCCCCGGCUCAACCGGGGAGGGUCAUUGGAAACUAGGGGACUUGAGUGCAGAAGAGGAGAGUGGAAUUCCAUGUGUAGCGGUGAAAUGCGUAGAUAUAUGGAGGAACACCAGUGGCGAAGGCGGCUCUCUGAUCUGUAACUGACACUGAGGCUCGAAAGCGUGGGGAGCAAACAGG